GAACCAUUGGAAAAUAAGGUUGCAUCUCUGACUGAUGACCUCCUCUGAGCACUCACCCCUUUCCUUCCCAGUCCACCCCAAGGUUGAGAACAGCAGAGUGGCUAAUAAUCUGAGCGUCUUGGGACUGUGUGCUGACAAGCUGAAAACCUCUACCCUUGUCCCGUGCAGAAGAGUCCCUGACCUAAGCGAGGCUCCACCCUUUCCUGCCAGAGCCGCCUGACCAACCUCCCCCCACUUAAAAACAAUAUGUACUGAGAUACAGUUUGUAUGCCAUCACAUUCA